rnacentral:lncRNA from 1 species
GCGGGUGGUUGUCAAACCUCUCCUCUUCCCUCUCGUACUUUUCGUCCCAUCCCGUUGCGCAUGAACCUCGUUGGUAGUAAUGGUUGUCAUGGAUGCCAUGAGAGGGCUUUUUUCCUCAUGAUAAAUUGUGCUCAAGUUCUGGGGUUAUUUGAAAUUUUGAAUUAGCAUUGUUGCGCAGAAAAUUGGCAGGUCAAGAUAAGUCGGUUAGACUUCUUGUUUGUUUGUUUCAAUUUCAAACUUUGUUCCAUGUAUAAUGAUGCAAUUCAAUUUAAAUUCAACUCCUCCAUAUAUAUGCAGGAUUGUUUUGGCAUAAUCAAAUGGACAAUAAGAUUGCGAGCUCUUCACACUGUCCUGUCGUUCAAGUUGGUUAACCUACAACUCAGUCGGGCCGGACUUUUUUGAUUCCAACUAUUCUAUUACUCGAUUUGU